GCGAGCCUGAUCCAGCCAUGCCGCGUGAAUGAUGAAGGCCUUAGGGUUGUAAAAUUCUUUCAGCAGGGAAGAUAAUGACGGUACCUGCAGAAGAAGCCCCGGCUAACUCCGUGCCAGCAGCCGCGGUAAUACGGAGGGGGCUAGCGUUGUUCGGAAUUACUGGGCGUAAAGCGCUCGUAGGCGGAUUGGUCAGUCAGGGGUGAAAGCCCGGAGCUCAACUCCGGAACUGCCUUUGAUACUGCCAGUCUUGAGUUCGGGAGAGGUGAGCGGAAUACCGAGUGUAGAGGUGAAAUUCGUAGAUAUUCGGUGGAACACCAGAGGCGAAGGCGGCUCACUGGACCGAUACUGACGCUGAGGAGCGAAAGCGUGGGGAGCAAACAGGAUUAGAUACCCUGGUAGUCCACGCCGUAAACGAUGAGAGCUAGUUGUCUGGCAGCAUGCUGUUAGGUGACGCAGCUAACGCAUUAAGCUCUCCGCCUGGGGAGUACGGCCGCAAGGUUAAAACUCAA
rnacentral:rRNA from 1 species